rnacentral:lncRNA from 1 species
AAAAAGAAAAAAAGUGAAAAGAAAGAGAAUUGUUUGGGAUGCAACGUCUACUGUUGGAGGAGGAGGGGACAAGAUUUUUUUUUGGUAGACAAGGACAAGCCGUCUGGGGAAGGACAAUGCAGGUUUGGCGAGCAGAGACAGAGAGGCGUUUUGGUUUUUUGGCAGACGCAGAUUGGAAAUUUGGCAGGGGCUACUUGGAGGGGACAUAACAGAAUUCAUCCUCCCUCAUGCACGGACCCCCCUCCCGCGGUUCCCUGCAACCCACACAUAACAGACAUCAGGGGAAUCCUGGAUUCAUCUCCCACUCUACCCUCAAUUGCUAUAUGGACUCACCUUUCUUCUCUCACCUGGGAUUUUUCAUCUCCAAUUCUCCAUGACCA